rnacentral:lncRNA from 1 species
GGUUAAUCUAGAUUUGUAAAUCAUACAUGUUUGUCUCUUUUAUUCAUGUGAAUGCCAGAACCAAGGAGAAGCUUAUAGAUGUGAUAGUCAAGUACCUUAAGAUGUUACCUUACUUGAAGAGUGAUGGUACAGUAUCACCUUGUGGAAGCUUUCCUCUCUUAGCGGUUGUGCAUCGUGUUUGUGGCACCCUCCAUGGAUCAUCUCUUGUGAGCUAUGCCUUCCUUGUGUAAAUUGUUAAACUUCAUGUGUCUCCUUUAUCUCUAAUGAGUUUGUAUAUCAGGACUUCCCAGGUCGAUAUUGAAAGUUUUCCUGCAGGGGUUAGUCCAACCAAAUAUCCAGUAUCUACUAUAGCAUACUAUCGGCUCAAAGAUCAACCUAGACACCAUGUCUAAAUUGAUUUAGGAGGGCAUUUUAACCUAAGCACCAUGCUUAAUUUAAAACCCC